AAGACUAUACUUUCAGGGAUCAUUUCUAUAGUUUGUGACUAGAGAAGUUUCUUUGAUUACACCAGAAAAAGCCACGAGGAGGAGCCAGAGCAUCCUCUCCUAAGUUUGAAGCCUGCUCUAGGUGUCGCUUCUGCGACUCCCUUUGGCUUUUGAUGAUCAUUCUUCCUUUUCUCUGGAGAGGGUAAAGAGAGAGGAUGUAGUCUGAGUGGU